rnacentral:rRNA from 1 species
GACGAACGCUGGCGGCGUGCUUAACACAUGCAAGUCGAACGGAAAGGCCCUGCUUUCGUGGGGUGCUCGAGUGGCGCACGGGUGAGUAACACGUGAGUAACCUGCCCUUGACUUUGGGACAACCUCAGGAAACUGGGGCUAAUACCGGAUAGGAGCUCCUGCUGCAUGGUGGUGGUUGGAAAGUUUCGGCGGUUGUGGAUGGACUCGCGGCUUAUCAGCUUGUUGGUGGGGUAGUGGCUUACCAAGGCUUUGACGGGUAGGCGGCCUGGGAGGGUGACCAGCCACAAUAGGACUGAGAUACGGCCCAGACGCCAACGGGGGGCAGCAGUGGGGAAUAUGGCACAGUGGGCGGGAGCGUGAGGCGGCGGCGCCGCGAGCGGGUUGACGGCCUUGUGGGUGGGAACCGCAUUAGGCUGAGACGAAGCGGGAGUGACGGUAAUGGGAAAAGAAGCACCGGCUAACUACGUG